rnacentral:rRNA from 1 species
UGUGUAACAACUCACCUGCCGAAUCAACUAGCCCCGAAAAUGGAUGGCGCUGAAGCGCGCGACCUAUACUCGGCCAUGGGCGCAAGUGCGAAGCUCCCAUGAGUAGGAGGGCGUGGGUGUCGUGGCGCAGCCUGCGGCGUGAGCCGGGGUGAAACGGCACCUAGUGCAGAUCUUGGUGGUAGUAGAAAAUAUUCAAAUGAGAACUUUGA